GUGCUCACUUCCACAGCACAUAUACUAACUGGAACAAUACAGAGAAGAUUAGCCUGGCUCCCGUGCAAGCAUGGCAUGCAAAUUUGUGAAGUGUUACAUGUAUUU